rnacentral:piRNA from 1 species
AGGGCUGAGACAAACACAUUGGAGAAUUAU